rnacentral:rRNA from 1 species
GGUUAAGCGACUAAGCGUACACGGUGGAUGCCCUGGCAGUCAGAGGCGAUGAAGGACGUGCUAAUCUGCGAAAAGCGUCGGUAAGGUGAUAUGAACCGUUAUAACCGGCGAUGUCCGAAUGGGGAAACCCAGUGUGUUUCGACACACUAUCAUUAACUGAAUCCAUAGGUUAAUGAGGCGAACCGGGGGAACUGAAACAUCUAAGUACCCCGAGGAAAAGAAAUCAACCGAGAUUCCCCCAGUAGCGGCGAGCGAACGGGGAGGAGCCCAGAGCCUGAAUCAGUGUGUGUGUUAGUGGAAGCGUCUGGAAAGGCGCGCGAUACAGGGUGACAGCCCCGUACACAAAAAUGCACAUGCUGUGAGCUCGAUGAGUAGGGCGGGACACGUGGUAUCCUGUCUGAAUAUGGGGGGACCAUCCUCCAAGGCUAAAUACUCCUGACUGACCGAUAGUGAACCAGUACCGUGAGGGAAAGGCGAAAAGAACCCCGGCGAGGGGAGUGAAAAAGAACCUGAAACCGUGUACGUACAAGCAGUGGGAGCCCUGAUUUAUCAGGGUGACUGCGUACCUUUUGUAUAAUGGGUCAGCGACUUAUAUUCUGUAGCAAGGUUAACCGAAUAGGGGAGCCGGAGGGAAACCGAGUCUUAACUGGGCGUUAAGUUGCAGGGUAUAGACCCGAAACCCGGUGAUCUAGCCAUGGGCAGGUUGAAGGUUGGGUAACACUAACUGGAGGACCGAACCGACUAAUGUUGAAAAAUUAGCGGAUGACUUGUGGCUGGGGGUGAAAGGCCAAUCAAACCGGGAGAUAGCUGGUUCUCCCCGAAAGCUAUUUAGGUAGCGCCUCGUGAAUUCAUCUCCGGGGGUAGAGCACUGUUUCGGCAAGGGGGUCAUCCCGACUUACCAACCCGAUGCAAACUGCGAAUACCGGAGAAUGUUAUCACGGGAGACACACGGCGGGUGCUAACGUCCGUCGUGAAGAGGGAAACAACCCAGACCGCCAGCUAAGGUCCCAAAGUCAUGGUUAAGUGGGAAACGAUGUGGGAAGGCCCAGACAGCCAGGAUGUUGGCUUAGAAGCAGCCAUCAUUUAAAGAAAGCGUAAUAGCUCACUGGUCGAGUCGGCCUGCGCGGAAGAUGUAACGGGGCUAAACCAUGCACCGAAGCUGCGGCAGCGACGCUGAUGCGUUGUUGGGUAGGGGAGCGUUCUGUAAGCCUGUGAAGGUGUGCUGUGAGGCAUGCUGGAGGUAUCAGAAGUGCGAAUGCUGACAUAAGUAACGAUAAAGCGGGUGAAAAGCCCGCUCGCCGGAAGACCAAGGGUUCCUGUCCAACGUUAAUCGGGGCAGGGUGAGUCGACCCCUAAGGCGAGGCCGAAAGGCGUAGUCGAUGGGAAACAGGUUAAUAUUCCUGUACUUGGUGUUACUGCGAAGGGGGGACGGAGAAGGCUAUGUUGGCCGGGCGACGGUUGUCCCGGUUUAAGCGUGUAGGCUGGUUUUCCAGGCAAAUCCGGAGAAUCAAGGCUGAGGCGUGAUGACGAGGCACUACGGUGCUGAAGCAACAAAUGCCCUGCUUCCAGGAAAAGCCUCUAAGCAUCAGGUAACAUCAAAUCGUACCCCAAACCGACACAGGUGGUCAGGUAGAGAAUACCAAGGCGCUUGAGAGAACUCGGGUGAAGGAACUAGGCAAAAUGGUGCCGUAACUUCGGGAGAAGGCACGCUGAUAUGUAGGUGAAGCGACUUGCUCGUGGAGCUGAAAUCAGUCGAAGAUACCAGCUGGCUGCAACUGUUUAUUAAAAACACAGCACUGUGCAAACACGAAAGUGGACGUAUACGGUGUGACGCCUGCCCGGUGCCGGAAGGUUAAUUGAUGGGGUCAGCGCAAGCGAAGCUCUUGAUCGAAGCCCCGGUAAACGGCGGCCGUAACUAUAACGGUCCUAAGGUAGCGAAAUUCCUUGUCGGGUAAGUUCCGACCUGCACGAAUGGCGUAAUGAUGGCCAGGCUGUCUCCACCCGAGACUCAGUGAAAUUGAACUCGCUGUGAAGAUGCAGUGUACCCGCGGCAAGACGGAAAGACCCCGUGAACCUUUACUAUAGCUUGACACUGAACACUGGUCCUUGAUGUGUAGGAUAGGUGGGAGGCUUUGAAGUGUGGACGCCAGUCUGCAUGGAGCCGUCCUUGAAAUACCACCCUUUAAUGGCUGGUGUUCUAACGUUGGCCCCUUAUCGGGGUUGCGGACAGUGUCUGGUGGGUAGUUUGACUGGGGCGGUCUCCUCCUAAAGAGUAACGGAGGAGCACGAAGGUUGGCUAAUCCUGGUCGGACAUCAGGAGGUUAGUGCAAUGGCAUAAGCCAGCUUGACUGCGAGCGUGACGGCGCGAGCAGGUGCGAAAGCAGGUCAUAGUGAUCCGGUGGUUCUGAAUGGAAGGGCCAUCGCUCAACGGAUAAAAGGUACUCCGGGGAUAACAGGCUGAUACCGCCCAAGAGUUCAUAUCGACGGCGGUGUUUGGCACCUCGAUGUCGGCUCAUCACAUCCUGGGGCUGAAGUAGGUCCCAAGGGUAUGGCUGUUCGCCAUUUAAAGUGGUACGCGAGCUGGGUUUAGAACGUCGUGAGACAGUUCGGUCCCUAUCUGCCGUGGGCGCUGGAGAACUGAGGGGGGCUGCUCCUAGUACGAGAGGACCGGAGUGGACGCAUCACUGGUGUUCGGGUUGUCAUGCCAAUGGCACUGCCCGGUAGCUAAAUGCGGAAGAGAUAAGUGCUGAAAGCAUCUAAGCACGAAACUUGCCCCGA